rnacentral:rRNA from 1 species
UACGUAGAAGACUAGUGUUAUUCAUCUUUAAUAGGUUUAAAGGGUACCUAGACGGUAAAUCAAGCCUGCGAGGGGACUAGUUUACUAGAGUUACUUGCGAGGGGGUAUAAAAGUACUAAAGGUGUAGAGAUGAAAUUCUGUCAUACCUCAUUUCGAAGAAAAGAAGAAAAAACUAUGGCACAGGUAUAGGCGAAAGCAUCCCCUUAUGUGAUAACUGACGUUGAAGGACGAAGGCUUUGUGUCGCGAACAGG